rnacentral:lncRNA from 1 species
GGAAUAUCUUUAAAAUGCUGAGUUCAUGUAAUUUUUUCAAAAUCGAAUAUGCGGAAAGGAGCUGUUUGGAAUGAAGAUUUACAAGAAGAAGUAAUUCCAUCUAAUUGAAUUAGUGAUAAAAUUGUUUGUCGGCUUCCAGCUACCAAAGCAUUGACUGCACUAAAAUGCAGAGAAGAAUUGGCUUAAGUUUAUACAAAUAAAAACUAAAUUCUCUUCAGAGUAUUUUCGAAAAGUUAUAUGGUCUCUAUGGAUAUGAAGGGCAAAGGUGGAAAAAUAUGUUUUAAGAACACUAAUCUAUAUGGCG